rnacentral:tRNA from 1 species
GCUUGGGUGGCUCAGUCGGUUGAGCUUCCGACUUCGGCUCAGGUCAUGAUCUCGCGCGCGGUCUGUGGGUUCGAGUCCCACGUCCGGCU